AUCGCUUCUCGGCCUUUUGGCUAAGAUCAAGUGUAGUAUCUGUUCUUAUCAGUUUAAUAUUUUUCUUUGAGAAACGAUUUGUGUUUUAACAUACCACUGAAU
rnacentral:snRNA from 1 species